rnacentral:rRNA from 1 species
GACGAACGCUGGCGGCGUGCCUAACACAUGCAAGUCGAACGGAAAGGCCCUGCUUUUGUGUGGUGCUUGAGUGGCGAACGGGUGAGAAACACGUGAGUAACCUGUCCUUGACUUUGGGAUAACUUCAGGAAACUGGGGAUAAUAUAGGAUAGGAGCUCCUGCUGCAUGGUGGGGGUUGGAAAGAUUCGGCGGUGUGGGCUGGACUGGCGGCUUAUGAGCUGGUUGGUGGAGUAGUGGCUUACCAAGGCUUUGACGGGUAGCCGGCAUGAGAGGGUGACCGGCGACAUGGGGACUGAGGGACGGCCCAGACGCCAACGGUAGGCAGCGGUGGAGAAUAUUGCACAAUGGGGGGAAGCGUGAGACAGAGGCGCUGGGUGCGUGAAGACGGCCUUCGGGGUGUGAACCGCUGUCGCCUGUGACGAAGCGUGAGUGACGGUAAUGGAUAAAGAAGCACCGGCUAACUACGUG